rnacentral:rRNA from 1 species
AUGCGUGGAGGUGGUGGUUCCGAUGAACAAGAGGAAAUCCGAUUUGGUGGACUCCCGCUGCAGCCGUCAUGGGAUGGAUGCGUGGAGGCGGAGGUUCCGAUCAACAAGAGGAAAUCCGAUUUGGUGGAAGAAAUCCAUGUUAGAGAUGGUGAAACUGUCUUCGCAGCCCCACCGGCCAAGAUCUUGAGGAUUAGCCACAAGACGAAAGUGGCCACAAGAGGCAGCGGCGGUCUUCGUCGUGGUCGUGGUGGUGGACGCGGACGCGGUCGCGAGCGCGGACGAAGCUCUGCAGGUGAGUCAGCGCAGAAUUCUUCGUCCUCACUUGGCAACAGGUGCUGGCUGAUUGCGCCCUCUCCUCCGGUGCCUAACAGGCGCCUGUUUACAGCAUAG